AGCCUUAUAGUCAAAUAAUUGAUAUAAAAUUGCAAAUUUUAAGUUGUAUGAAUACUAAGGCUU
rnacentral:tRNA from 1 species